UAUUAUAUGAAUAUAAAUCAGGAUUUCUAAGUAGUAGUUGAAUGUCAUUAAAUUUAAAGAAUUUGGCGGUGUCUUAAUUUAUUUAGAGGAAUUUGUUUUAUAAUAGAUAAUCCACGUUGAAUCUUACUUAAUUUAUGGGAUUUAUAUAUCGCUGUUUAAUUUAAUUUUAUUAAAGAUUGGUGCUAGUUAUAUUGUAAGGUAAUUUAAGUCAAGGUGUAGUUGAUGAUUAAGAAAAAAUUGGUUACAUUAUUGAGAAAAUUUAUGGAUUAUAUUUGAGAUAUAGUAUUAUGAAGGUGGAUUUAAUAGUAAUUUUAUAAAGAUUAUUAGGGUGACUAUGGUUUUGGGGUGUGUACAUAUUGCCCGUCACUCUCAUUUUAUU
rnacentral:rRNA from 1 species